GUAACUACAAAGCAUUACAUGUCUCAUAUUCUGUUUAAUAAUCUUACUUUGACCUCUCAUUUAUUCUAAGUUUUUAGCUCCUUGGAUAUCUUUUCCUCCCAGUGUUAAUGGAAUUUCAGCACUUCGUCUUAAAAUCCAUGGGUUCAACUAACUAUGCUGAACAAGAUAUCUGCAUAAGUAGAAAAUUUAUCCCUCUCUUUUGCAGCUGCAGGAAAAAUGUUAUUCCAGAUCAUAAACCCUCCUUGCAAGAAAAAAGUAUUUUGCAACAUCUAGAAUUUAGAUAUAAUUGCCAUCUAGAGUGAGCAAAUCUCAAACUCUGAAAUAUCUAUCAUUUUGAUUGAUUGUAUUAUUUACCAAUGUGUUAUGCCCAGGUAAUAACAUCUCUGUUGUCAAACGAAAGCUAGAAAGAUAUUACACAAAGGUAAAAUAUAAUAAAUCAACUCUGGUAGAUGUCUUAAAGUGUUUUGUUUUUUGCAUUUCCAAUGGCAGAUGAAAUCAGGGCAAGAAACCGAAGUAAUGAUUACUCACAAGUAAGAAUACUUGCUUGCUGAACACUUGCUGAAGACACACUUAAUAAUUUGAAAUUGUUCAAUCAGCAUCAUACAAUAUUAUUAAAAUUAACUAAUAUAUCCACAUGCACUAUCUAAAUGCCAAACACCAAGAAAAAAAUGCAGCAGAGCACGAAAAAUAAUUUUUCAUUGGAAACAAUUUCUCAGCAUUUUCUUACGUACAAUGAAAGACAGAAGACAACAAAGAGAAACCCCUUUAAAGAUUACAUCCCUGCUGAAGAACUCAUAAUGUCAAACACAUUCUACUUCAUCACAACAGACUGCCUUACUGGCCCUAAAUGUCACUUAAAGAAAAUGAUAUCCACCCAACAGGGGCUUGGUUUUGCUUAUUGAGCCAUUGGUGAUCAUGGCCAUUAACAUUACAUAUAUACUGGUAAGUACUAGCGAAGCCCCAUUGCCUCUUGGGAUUCAUCUCAUAGCAACAGGUCUUAAUUUUAUUUCCAAGCCAUAUCCUUAGAACACUCUCCAAAGAGUUUUCAACAGGACAAAUGGGUUGAUAUGGUUUGGGUAAUUACCAUUAUCUCAGAAACUUGUGGAACCACACCAGCUGAAAACGAUAUGUUAUCAUUUACCCUCUUGCAGAAAAAAAUAUAUUUUUGAGAUAUCCCAAACUGAUUCUCUCAAAGACACAAAAUCAUUAUCCCUAUUUUUGUGUUGUGUGUAUCCAUGACUAAUUAUGAUAGAAAAUGAGAGUUUGAGAAAAAAACACAACCAUUAAAAUUGCCUAUGUCAAUUUUCCCCUCACAGUAGGAUCAGACCAGCCUCCACGAGGAAUCUAGUUAUUUAUUUGGCAAUCUGGCUCUUCAGGUUUGGGAGGGGAAGAGUUUCCGCCUGAGACAAAGGAAGAGAACAAGUAGUGUGAGGUAUUGCAGAGCCAAUGAGAAAAUGAAAAGAUUCCAGCUGAGUGGGAUUAAGAGCAAAUUCUAAGUCACUUGGGCUAAGGUGGGACUGUGGUUGAGAUGUGAUACACCAUGUGAUAUGAAAUUUAGAGAAGAGAGAAUUGGAGCAAGAGUUCAGGGCCAAGUGAGUGAGUCAAUUCAGAGUGGCACUAGACUCUGGUGGUUAAAGCUCACCUUUGGCCCAGCAGAUGGGUGUAUCUGGGUGUUUUCUAUACCCCAGGGACAGGCAGACACACUGUGACCCAAAAUAUCUCAUCUGCUUGUGUCACCUUUCACUUCUACUGAUUAUCCAACCUGAAAUUCUCACCAAAUGCCAUUCUGAUUAGAGGGUCACCUAUUCAUUUAUCCAACAUUCCACCCAAUAUACGGCAGGACUGAUCCAAGAACCAGAGGCACAGAAGUGAAUUUCUACCUGCAGAGGCUGUUCUUUAAGUACAUUUGAUUAAUAAGAAAACAGAUUUUUGAUGAGUGAUCAGUGAACACACUAUGAGUCAACAAAGAAGAGCACUGUUAACCCUGCAUUGGAAGCUCUGGAGAAUUCCUCAGAGGAGGUAGCAUUUAGGCUGGUCUGGAAGGAAGAUGAGCCUGAUACUAAAAAUAUGGGGUAAGUGGUACUCCAAGCAGAGGAGCAAUAUACAGUAACCAAUGUGUGAAACUCAACUGAGUCAUGAGACAAAGUGUUCAGAGAAUAAAAUAGCUCAUUGUCACUGGCCCUGGGAUAUAUAUUUAUGGGUCAGGGCAAAGAUAGUGGUGUGAAAGUUAAACAUGAAAGGAGGAAGUAGGAAGAGACAACCAUGAAGAACACUACCAGUCAUUCCAAAGAGUUUGAAGGACUUUUUUCUGGAUUUGGUUGGACACGUUCCACGGGCAGAAAGGAAAACUAGAGCUAUUGCAAUAAUUACAUGUGAAACUAAGUAUCGAUAUCUGACAUAAGGCAAAGGCUGUCACAGACAAAGAGGUAAGAAAGUAUUUGGGAUACUUAAACCCAAAAUUACUAGGAUUUGGUGAUCAACUGAUGAAGGGGGCCAGGAGCAAGCAGGAAUCUUGAUACUUUCAUUUGUUUCUAGGUGAGGAAGCUGGAUAAACAAAAGGACCAUUUAGCAAGACAGAAGAACAUGAGAAGAGAGAUUUUGUUGGAAAGGCAAUGGAGAUAAAUGGAUGAUACCAAAAGGCACGUAGAUACCCAUAAGCUUCCUGGCCCUGGAAUUCCUCACCAUGACCCACAAAGCUCUGGAUGUGGCUGCUUCCUGAUCUAUCCAGUGCUGCUCUUGUUCCUGCUCCAUGCACUCCAACAACACUGGCCUUCUGAAAAUUUUGUAGUCAUAGAACCAUUACUGCCUUUCCCUUUUUAGUUACUGUUCUAUAUGCCUCGAGUACUAUACACACCCUGCAGUUGGCAUGGCCCACCCCUUCUCUUGAUGGCUCUGCUGGAUGGUUCCUCAGCCCCAAACAGCAGGGUCCCUGGUGCUCUCAAUUGGGCAGGCCAUGAAGCCAGCGUUUCCUCUGCCCGGUGUGUUUGCCCAUACCUACUACACAAAGUCAUUAACCAGCAUUUAUGUCACUGUCCUAAGCUUGGCUGAGGGAUGAGGGUCGGGUGGCAGGUAAAGUGGGAAAUAAAAGUAAAAAUUGCUGAAAAUGAACAUGGAAUGAAGAGUGCUCUACACCCUUUUAUGUCUGUGAAGUCCAGCUUGCUGAGAGGUUGACUCACCACUAAAGCCAAAAAGCCUCUGGUUAGGAGAAAGGUGGUAGCUCUUUAAAACCAAAUCCAUUUCCCCUGCUAAGUGCAUUCAUUUCUCCUAAUCUGCACUGUGAGGCUGAUGAUCUUACCUUGCUUUUCUAUUCUCUCCCUCAUCUAGAAAACAAAGCUAUUUUUAAAACCACGAAUCUCUGACAAGAACAAAGUCAACAUUUUGGAAAAAUAGUGAUUUUUUUUAAAAAGUACCUUUUGA
rnacentral:lncRNA from 10 species